rnacentral:rRNA from 2 species
AGAGUUUGAUCAUGGCUCAGAUUGAACGCUGGCGGCAGGCUUAACACAUGCAAGUCGAACGAUGAUUAUCUAGCUUGCUAGAUAUGAUUAGUGGCGGACGGGUGAGUAACAUUUAGGAAUCUGCCUAGUAGUGGGGGAUAGCUCGGGGAAACUCGAAUUAAUACCGCAUACGACCUACGGGUGAAAGGGGGCGCAAGCUCUUGCUAUUAGAUGAGCCUAAAUCAGAUUAGCUAGUUGGUGGGGUAAAGGCCCACCAAGGCGACGAUCUGUAACUGGUCUGAGAGGAUGAUCAGUCACACCGGAACUGAGACACGGUCCGGACUCCUACGGGAGGCAGCAGUGGGGAAUAUUGGACAAUGGGGGCAACCCUGAUCCAGCCAUGCCGCGUGUGUGAAGAAGGCCUUUUGGUUGUAAAGCACUUUAAGCAGGGAGGAGAGGCUAAUGGUUAAUACCCAUUAGAUUAGACGUUACCUGCAGAAUAAGCACCGGCUAACUCUGUGCCAGCAGCCGCGGUAAUACAGAGGGUGCGAGCGUUAAUCGGAAUUACUGGGCGUAAAGCGAGUGUAGGUGGCUCAUUAAGUCACAUGUGAAAUCCCCGGGCUUAACCUGGGAACUGCAUGUGAUACUGGUGGUGCUAGAAUAUGUGAGAGGGAAGUAGAAUUCCAGGUGUAGCGGUGAAAUGCGUAGAGAUCUGGAGGAAUACCGAUGGCGAAGGCAGCUUCCUGGCAUAAUAUUGACACUGAGAUUCGAAAGCGUGGGUAGCAAACAGGAUUAGAUACCCUGGUAGUCCACGCCGUAAACGAUGUCUACUAGCCGUUGGGGUCCUUGAGACUUUAGUGGCGCAGUUAACGCGAUAAGUAGACCGCCUGGGGAGUACGGCCGCAAGGUUAAAACUCAAAUGAAUUGACGGGGGCCCGCACAAGCGGUGGAGCAUGUGGUUUAAUUCGAUGCAACGCGAAGAACCUUACCUGGUGCUAUGACUCAUAGCUGAGAAUGCUGCUGCAGAGAUGAGAGAGUGCCUUCGGGAACUCACAUACAGGUGCUGCAUGGCUGUCGUCAGCUCGUGUCGUGAGAUGUUGGGUUAAGUCCCGCAACGAGCGCAACCCUUUUCCUUAUUUGCCAGCGGGUUAAGCCGGGAACUUUAAGGAUACUGCCAGUGACAAACUGGAGGAAGGCGGGGACGACGUCAAGUCAUCAUGGCCCUUACGACCAGGGCUACACACGUGCUACAAUGGUAGGUACAGAGGGUUGCUACACAGCGAUGUGAUGCUAAUCUCAAAAAGCCUAUCGUAGUCCGGAUUGGAGUCUGCAACUCGACUCCAUGAAGUCGGAAUCGCUAGUAAUCGCGGAUCAGAAUGCCGCGGUGAAUACGUUCCCGGGCCUUGUACACACCGCCCGUCACACCAUGGGAGUCUAUUGCACCAGAAGUAGGUAGCCUAACGAAAGAGGGCGCUUACCACGGUGUGGUCGAUGACUGGGGUGAAGUCGUAACAAGGUAAC